AGUGAACGCUGGCGGUAGGCCUAACACAUGCAAGUCGAACGGCAGCACAGUAAGAGCUUGCUCUUACGGGUGGCGAGUGGCGGACGGGUGAGGAAUACAUCGGAAUCUACUUUUUCGUGGGGGAUAACGUAGGGAAACUUACGCUAAUACCGCAUACGACCUACGGGUGAAAGCAGGGGAUCUUCGGACCUUGCGCGAUUGAAUGAGCCGAUGUCGGAUUAGCUAGUUGGCGGGGUAAAGGCCCACCAAGGCGACGAUCCGUAGCUGGUCUGAGAGGAUGAUCAGCCACACUGGAACUGAGACACGGUCCAGACUCCUACGGGAGGCAGCAGUGGGGAAUAUUGGACAAUGGGCGCAAGCCUGAUCCAGCCAUACCGCGUGGGUGAGGAAGGCCUUCGGGUUGUAAAGCCCUUCUGUUGGGAAAGAAAAGCAGCAGGUUAAUACCCCGCUGUUCUGACGGUACCCAAAGAAUAAGCACCGGCUAACUUCGUG
rnacentral:rRNA from 1 species